rnacentral:ncRNA from 1 species
AAUAAUUGAAUGUAUUUACCUGUAUAUUUUUGAUGAUAUGGUUCAAAUGUAUCUACCAGGCUACCGUAAAUUGCCUGACUACAGGAGUUUUUAAUAAU